CCUACGUGAGGCUGCAGUGAGGAAUAUUGGUCAAUGGGCGCGAGCCUGAACCAGCCAAGUAGCGUGAAGGAUGACUGCCCUACGGGUUGUAAACUUCUUUUAUAAAGGAAUAAAGUGAGGCACGUGUGCCUUUUUGUAUGUACUUUAUGAAUAAGGAUCGGCUAACCCCUUGCCAGCAACCUCGGUAAUACGGAGGAUCCGCGCGUUAUCCGGAUUUGUUUGGUUUAAGGGGAGCGUAGAUGGGUUUGUAAUUCAGUUGUGAAAGUUUGCGGCUCAACCGUAAAAUUGCAAUUGAUACUGGCAGUCUUGAGUACAGUUGAGGUAGGCGGAAUUCGUGGUGUAGCGGUGAAAUGCUUAGAUAUCACGAAGAACUCCGAUUGCGAAGGCAGCUUACUAAACUGCCACUGACAUUGAUGCUCGAAAGUGUGGGUAUCAAACAGGAUUAGAGACCCCAGUAGUC
rnacentral:rRNA from 1 species